GAUGAACGCUGGCGGCGUGCCUAAUACAUGCAAGUCGAGCGAACGGACGAGAAGCUUGCUUCUCUGAUGUUAGCGGCGGACGGGUGAGUAACACGUGGAUAACCUACCUAUAAGACUGGGAUAACUUCGGGAAACCGGAGCUAAUACCGGAUAAUAUUUUGAACCGCAUGGUUCAAAAGUGAAAGACGGUCUUGCUGUCACUUAUAGAUGGAUCCGCGCUGCAUUAGCUAGUUGGUAAGGUAACGGCUUACCAAGGCAACGAUGCAUAGCCGACCUGAGAGGGUGAUCGGCCACACUGGAACUGAGACACGGUCCAGACUCCUACGGGAGGCAGCAGUAGGGAAUCUUCCGCAAUGGGCGGAAGCCUGACGGAGCAACGCCGCGUGAGUGAUGAAGGUCUUCGGAUCGUAAAACUCUGUUAUUAGGGAAGAACAUAUGUGUAAGUAACUGUGCACAUCUUGACGGUACCUAAUCAGAAAGCCACGGCUAACUACGUGCCAGCAGCCGCGGUAAUACGUAGGUGGCAAGCGUUAUCCGGAAUUAUUGGGCGUAAAGCGCGCGUAGGCGGUUUUUUAAGUCUGAUGUGAAAGCCCACGGCUCAACCGUGGAGGGUCAUUGGAAACUGGAAAACUUGAGUGCAGAAGAGGAAAGUGGAAUUCCAUGUGUAGCGGUGAAAUGCGCAGAGAUAUGGAGGAACACCAGUGGCGAAGGCGACUUUCUGGUCUGUAACUGACGCUGAUGUGCGAAAGCGUGGGGAUCAAACAGGAUUAGAUACCCUGGUAGUCCACGCCGUAAACGAUGAGUGCUAAGUGUUAGGGGGUUUCCGCCCCUUAGUGCUGCAGCUAACGCAUUAAGCACUCCGCCUGGGGAGUACGACCGCAAGGUUGAAACUCAAAGGAAUUGACGGGGACCCGCACAAGCGGUGGAGCAUGUGGUUUAAUUCGAAGCAACGCGAAGAACCUUACCAAAUCUUGACAUCCUUUGACAACUCUAGAGAUAGAGCCUUCCCCUUCGGGGGACAAAGUGACAGGUGGUGCAUGGUUGUCGUCAGCUCGUGUCGUGAGAUGUUGGGUUAAGUCCCGCAACGAGCGCAACCCUUAAGCUUAGUUGCCAUCAUUAAGUUGGGCACUCUAAGUUGACUGCCGGUGACAAACCGGAGGAAGGUGGGGAUGACGUCAAAUCAUCAUGCCCCUUAUGAUUUGGGCUACACACGUGCUACAAUGGACAAUACAAAGGGCAGCGAAACCGCGAGGUCAAGCAAAUCCCAUAAAGUUGUUCUCAGUUCGGAUUGUAGUCUGCAACUCGACUACAUGAAGCUGGAAUCGCUAGUAAUCGUAGAUCAGCAUGCUGCGGUGAAUACGUUCCCGGGUCU
rnacentral:rRNA from 1 species